UACGUAGGGGGCGAGCGUUAUCCGGAUUCAUUGGGCGUAAAGCGCUCGUAGGCGGUCCGUUAGGUCGGGAGUCAAAUCCGGGGGCUCAACCCCCGCCCGCUCCCGAUACCGGCGGACUUGAGUUUGGUAGGGGAAGGCGGAAUUCCAAGUGUAGCGGUGGAAUGCGCAGAUAUUUGGAAGAACACCGGUGGCGAAGGCGGCCUUCUGGGCCACAACUGACGCUGAGGAGCGAAAGCUAGGGGAGCGAACAGG
rnacentral:rRNA from 1 species